UGGGGAAUAUUGGACAAUGGGCGGAAGCCUGAUCCAGCUACGCCGCGUGAGUGAUGAAGGCCUUCGGGUUGUAAAGCUCUGUCGUAAGGGAAGAAGACUUCGGUUUGACGGUACCUUACAAGAAAGCACCGGCUAACUCCGUGCCAGCAGCCGCGGUAAUACGGAGGGUGCAAGCGUUGCUCGGAAUUACUGGGCGUAAAGCGAGCGCAGGCAGGCUAUUAAGCCAGAUGUGAAAGCCCAAGGCUCAACCUUGGAAUUGCAUCUGGAACUGGUGGCCUAGAGGAUAAGAGAGGGAAGUAGAAUUCCUGGUGUAGAGGUGAAAUUCGUUGAUAUCAGGAGGAAUACCUGUGGCGAAGGCGGCUUCCUGGCUUAUUUCUGACGCUGAGGCUCGAAAGCGUGGGUAGCGAACAGG
rnacentral:rRNA from 1 species